UACGUAGGGGGCAAGCGUUGUCCGGAAUCAUUGGGCGUAAAGCGCGUGUAGGCGGCUCGGUAAGUCUGCUGUGAAAGUCCAGGGCUCAACCCUGGGAUGCCGGUGGAUACUGUCGAGCUCGAGUCCGGAAGAGGCGAGUGGAAUUCCUGGUGUAGCGGUGAGAUGCGCAGAUAUCAGGAGGAACACCGGUGGCGAAGGCGGAUCUCUGGGCCGUUGCCUGACGCUGAGCGCGAAAGCUAGGGGAGGCGA
rnacentral:rRNA from 1 species